GAAUCCUAAUUCUCAAUCAUAGAGUCCCAAACACAUAAGACUCAUAAUCAGCCAUCAGAUCAGAAAGGAACCUCUAAUGUGUGUGACCCCGCAGGUUCGAACCUAAGCCGGUAGCACAGGAACCAAUUUCUGUACUAAUCGAAGUGACCAUCUAGCAAUGGUCCCUGAUGAUCGGAUAGGUCGAAUAGUCGCAAUCACAAUAUUCAGAACCUACAUGAAUAUGGUUACCGUAUAAUUCAUCCCUUUUGACCCCUGUGUUUAGGAUGACUCAGGGUUAAACUGUCAACCUUGAUUAGAUCAUCCGAGUCAUGUUCAACUCAAUCAGUCCUGUGACUCCUCACUAGGACUAUCCUGGUCAAGAUUUUGCUAAAUUGAAAUAUGACUGUACACAACUCCUAAACUGGAGUGGUCAAUCCCAUCUUGACACACGCACAGACAAGUCAAGUACUUGACUACACCCUGCAGCCUUCCAUCACUGAAUUAGAAAUUCAGGUAGUCCAGUGCCUAAGUGCAGUGAGUUGCUUGCAAGUCACCGUGGCGGUCUCAAGUCGGAGGGACAUUUAUACCCAUAUCCCAUCGGAGAAAAUCUUGACAGCAGAAAUAGCUCCGGAGUCGGUCACGUUUAGUGUAGAUGUACCAUUACAUCUCAUCUGUAUGCCAUACCAGUGUCUUCACACUCCUUGGUUAUGAGG
rnacentral:lncRNA from 1 species